AUUGAACGCUGGCGGCAUGCCUUACACAUGCAAGUCGAACGGUAACGGGCCUUCGGGUGCCGACGAGUGGCGAACGGGUGAGUAAUGCAUCGGAACGUACCUUUCAGUGGGGGAUAACGUAGCGAAAGUUGCGCUAAUACCGCAUAUUCUGUGAGCAGGAAAGCAGGGGAUCGCAAGACCUUGCGCUGAUUGAGCGGCCGAUGUCAGAUUAGCUAGUUGGUGAGGUAAAGGCUCACCAAGGCGACGAUCUGUAGCGGGUCUGAGAGGAUGAUCCGCCACACUGGAACUGAGACACGGUCCAGACUCCUACGGGAGGCAGCAGUGGGGAAUUUUGGACAAUGGGGGCAACCCUGAUCCAGCCAUGCCGCGUGAGUGAAGAAGGCC
rnacentral:rRNA from 1 species